AGAGUUUGAUCAUGGCUCAGGAUGAACGCUAGCUACAGGCUUAACACAUGCAAGUCGAGGGGCAGCAUUGGAGUAGCAAUACUCAGAUGGCGACCGGCGCACGGGUGAGUAACACGUAUCCAACCUGCCGCUUACUCGGGGAUAGCCUUUCGAAAGAAAGAUUAAUACCCGAUGGUAUAAAGAGUUCGCAUGUUCUCUUUAUUAAAGAAUUUCGGUAAGCGAUGGGGAUGCGUUCCAUUAGAUUGUUGGCGGGGUAACGGCCCACCAAGUCUACGAUGGAUAGGGGUUCUGAGAGGAAGGUCCCCCACAUUGGAACUGAGACACGGUCCAAACUCCUACGGGAGGCAGCAGUGAGGAAUAUUGGUCAAUGGACGAGAGUCUGAACCAGCCAAAGUAGCGUGAAGGAUGACUGCCCUAUGGGUUGUAAACUUCUUUUAUAAGGGAAUAAAGUGAGGGACGUGUCCCUUUUUGUAUGUACCUUAUGAAUAAGGAUCGGCUAACUCCGUGCCAGCCGCAGC
rnacentral:rRNA from 1 species